rnacentral:rRNA from 1 species
UAAUUGCGCGUCAACUUGUGAACUGCAGGACACAUGAACAUCGACAUUUCGAACGCACAUUGCGGUCCACGGAAGCAAUUCCCGGACCACGUCUGGCUGAGGGUCGUUUAAUAAACAAUAACCAGACUGCUUUUGCCGAAAGCGAUUUUCUGGGCGCUUCGUCCUUGCAUAUGAAUUCAAUUAUGCCGGGCGUCGCUCUAAAUGAAUUCGAAAGACGGACGAUAAACUGCAGCAGCCGCGCUGCGCCGCCAACGGGAACUUUCGAACGACAGCGUGCUGCGCACGCUGCCGUUGGCGGUGUUCGUGGGAAAGCCGCGCGCGGUUUCGAAAGUGCGCGCGGCUGGCGAGCCGGUGAAAAGAGCUACUUUAGCGGCUCGUUCGUCGUCGAGUCCCGGAGCUCUUGUGGUCUUUUCUUUUUGACCCGAGCGGACCGAUGGGGACGGCCGUCUUUAUCGUAGCUAAUGGCUCUUUGCCACUUGCUGUCGCCGUUGCGCGAGUAAUUCGUCAUUUCGCGGCGAAGAGAGCACACACUCUGGGCGUGCGAGGCCUUAACGAUUACAUCGAACGCACUACGCGGCGCCGCAGACAAUGCGCGUGCCGGCCUCCUCGUUCUUUUACCGCGUGUGUGCACACUUUGCCCGAGGCGCGCUCGCUGUAACGACAAUUGAUUUUAACGUUGAAACAUGUACAGACGACCUCAGAGCAGGCGAGACUACCCGCUGA